CAGUCGCCGCGGUAAUGCGUAGGGUGCGAGCGUUAAUCGGAAUUACUGGGCGUAAAGCGUGCGCAGGCGGUUCGUUAAGACAGAUGUGAAAUCCCCGGGCUUAACCUGGGAACUGCAUUUGUGACUGGCGGGCUAGAGUAUGGCAGAGGGGGGUAGAAUUCCACGUGUAGCAGUGAAAUGCGUAGAGAUGUGGAGGAAUACCGAUGGCGAAGGCAGCCCCCUGGGCCAAUACUGACGCUCAUGCACGAAAGCGUGGGGAGCAAACAGGAUUAGAUACCCGGGUAGUCCCUGUCUCUUAUAC
rnacentral:rRNA from 1 species